rnacentral:tRNA from 1 species
GACUUUGUGGUACAGCAGUAGCACAUCUGAUUUUAGAUCAGAUAGUUGAGCAUUCAAAUCACUUUGGCGUCA